rnacentral:rRNA from 1 species
CAUGCAAGUCGAGCGAGAACCAUUCCUUCGGGAAUGGGGACAGCGGCGAACGGGUGAGUAACACGUGGGUAAUCUGCCCUCGGUUUCGGGAUAGCCCGGGGAAACCCGGAUUAAUACCGGAUAGCCUCUCGAGCCCUCGGGCUCGCGAGAAAAGGUAGCUUCGGCCUCCGACCAAGGAUGAGCCCGCGGCCGAUUAGCUUGUUGGUGGGGUAACGGCCCACCAAGGCGACGAUCGGUAGCUGGUCUGAGAGGAUGAUCAGCCACACUGGGACUGAGACACGGCCCAGACUCCUACGGGAGGCAGCAGUGGGGAAUCUUGCGCAAUGGGCGAAAGCCUGACGCAGCGACGCCGCGUGCGGGAAGAAGGCCUUCGGGUUGUAAACCGCUUUCAGGAGGGACGAAGCCACUCGGGUUAAUAGCCCAGAGGGUGACGGUACCUCCAGAAGAAGCCCCGGCUAACUACGUGCCAGCAGCCGCGGUAAUACGUAGGGGGCAAGCGUUGUCCGGAUUUAUUGGGCGUAAAGAGCGUGUAGGCGGCCAGGCAAGUCCGACGUGAAAUCUCGAGGCUCAACCUCGAGCGGUCGUUGGAAACUGCUUGGCUAGAGUCCGGAAGAGGAGAGUGGAAUUCCCGGUGUAGCGGUGAAAUGCGCAGAUAUCGGGAAGAACANCCAUGGCGAACGCAGCUCUCUGGGACGGUACUGACGCUGA